rnacentral:rRNA from 1 species
GACGAACGCUGGCGGCGUGCUUAACACAUGCAAGUCGAACGAAAAUACCAAGCUUGCUUGGUUGAUUAGUGGCGAACGGGUGAGUAACACGUGAGUAACCUGCCCCUUACUUUCCUGGAUAACUGCUCGAAAGGGUAGCUAAUACGGGAUAUUCUGACCAGCCUGCAUGGGUUGGUUUGGAAAGGUUGUUUUUCUGGUAAGGGAUGGGCUCGCGGCCUAUCAGCUUGUUGGUGGGGUGAUGGCCUACCAAGGCUUUGACGGGUAGCCGGCCUGAGAGGGUGGACGGUCACACUGGGACUGGGAUACGGCCCAGACUCCUACGGGAGGCAGCAGUGGGGAAUAUUGCACAAUGGGCGCAAGCCUGAUGCAGCGACGCCGCGUGAGGGAUGAAGGCCUUCGGGUUGUAAACCUCUUUCGUCAGGGAACAAGGCACUGCUUUUUGGUGGUGUUGAGGGUACCUGGAUAAGAAGCGCCGGCUAACUACGUG